AGCAGUGUAGAGUUCUAUAUCUUGCAAGAAGUCUAGAGAUUUAUGUAUUUAGCUAUAGAGAUUUAUUGUUGGGUAGUUGAUGUUGCUGUUCUUGAUAGUCAUGGAUUGCAAAGUGCGGAGUAUAUAUUUUGUGUUUUAGAAAAAAAAAGUUUGGUCUGGAAUUGAACUCCUUUCAUCCAACCUAAACUACACCACUACAUUCUUUGUCAGCUCUUUGGUGUUAAUUUUAGGCAUGUACAUCAACAAUUUUAGGAAAUAUUUUUUAAAAAUAAAAUGGAAGUGUGUCAUUUGAUUUGUUAUUAAUUAAUUUGCAGGACUAUGGUGCAAUUUUCAUCAAAGGCCAGGAACACUAAGAAUGAUAAGACUGCAUCAGUGUUUUCCAAGAAAGGAGAGAAAUUAAAGGAAUUAAUCAAGACUGCUUGUCAGUGUGGAAGGGAUACUGCCAAAUAUCAUCCAUUCAUGAAAACAAAUUUGGGGUUGCCACUCGCUUAAAUACCUGACAAAAAUAUAUCUUUGAUGAUAAUUAGGGUUGAAUAUAAAAUCAAGAUUUACAUUAUAACGAGGAAGGAAGCAAAUUACCUGAUGCAGAAGACAUGGAAGAUAACAGUUGUGGAGAGCUUUGAACGUGGUGGCCUUUGCCUGUAGUGCUCUCGUUUAUUCUGAUUUAUUUUCCCACUGUAGAUUUAAGGGUUUGUAAUUAUUGAUUUUUGUAUAUUAAGUAUUUAUUUGGUAUUUGGGUUGUAUACAAAUUGUAUAAUGUUAAUUUCUGGUUUUCCGGCGAAA